AGUCGAGCGAACAGACAAGGAGCUUGCUCCUUUGACGUUAGCGGCGGACGGGUGAGUAACACGUGGGUAACCUACCUAUAAGACUGGGAUAACUUCGGGAAACCGGAGCUAAUACCGGAUAAUAUUUCGAACCGCAUGGUUCGAUAGUGAAAGAUGGUUUUGCUAUCACUUAUAGAUGGACCCGCGCCGUAUUAGCUAGUUGGUAAGGUAACGGCUUACCAAGGCGACGAUACGUAGCCGACCUGAGAGGGUGAUCGGCCACACUGGAACUGAGACACGGUCCAGACUCCUACGGGAGGCAGCAGUAGGGAAUCUUCCGCAAUGGGCGAAAGCCUGACGGAGCAACGCCGCGUGAGUGAUGAAGGUCUUCGGAUCGUAAAACUCUGUUAUUAGGGAAGAACAUACGUGUAAGUAACUAUGCACGUCUUGACGGUACCUAAUCAGAAAGCCACGGCUAACUACGUGCCAGCAGCCGCGGUAAUACGUAGGUGGCAAGCGUUAUCCGGAAUUAUUGGGCGUAAAGCGCGCGUAGGCGGUUUUUUAAGUCUGAUGUGAAAGCCCACGGCUCAACCGUGGAGGGUCAUUGGAAACUGGAAAACUUGAGUGCAGAAGAGGAAAGUGGAAUUCCAUGUGUAGCGGUG
rnacentral:rRNA from 1 species